UACAGAGGGUGCAAGCGUUGUUCGGAAUUAUUGGGCGUAAAGCGCGUGUAGGCGGCUAUGCAAGUCGGGUGUGAAAGCCCUCAGCUUAACUGAGGAAGUGCGCCCGAAACUGCAAAGCUUGAGUACCGGAGAGGAUGGCGGAAUUCCCCAAGUAGAGGUGAAAUUCGUAGGUAUGGGGAGGAACACCGGUGGCGAAGGCGGCCAUCUGGACGGAUACUGACGCUGAGACGCGAAAGCGUGGGUAGCAAACAGG
rnacentral:rRNA from 1 species